GCCUGGGUGGCGGAAUGGGUAGACGCAAGGGACUUAAAAUCCCUCGGGGCUUCCACCCCGUGCCGGUUCGACUCCGGCCCCAGGCACCC
rnacentral:tRNA from 1 species